rnacentral:rRNA from 1 species
AGCAGUAGCCACGGGAAUACAGAGGGUGCGAGCGUUAAUCGGAUUUACUGGGCGUAAAGCGUGCGUAGGCGGCUUCUUAAGUCGGAUGUGAAAUCCCUGAGCUUAACUUAGGAAUUGCAUUCGAUACUGGGAAGCUAGAGUAUGGGAGAGGAUGGUAGAAUUCCAGGUGUAGCGGUGAAAUGCGUAGAGAUCUGGAGGAAUACCGAUGGCGAAGGCAGCCAUCUGGCCUAAUACUGACGCUGAGGUACGAAAGCAUGGGGAGCAAACAGGAUUAGAUACCCCCGUAGUCCCUGUCUCUUAUAA